rnacentral:rRNA from 1 species
GACGGAGGGGGCAAGCGUUGUCCGGAAUCACUGGGCGUAAAGCGCACGUAGGCGGGACGGUGCGUCGGGGCUGAAAGCGCCAGGCUUAACCUGGCGAGGCGUGCCGAUACGACCGACCUCGAGGCAGACAGAGGGUGGCGGAAUUCCGGGUGUAGUGGUGAAAUGCGUAGAGAUCCGGAGGAACGCCGGUGGCGAAAGCGGCCACCUGGGUCUGACCUGACGCUGAGGUGCGAAAGCGUGGGGAGCAAACCGG